AUUGAACGCUGGCGGCAGGCCUAACACAUGCAAGUCGAACGGUAACAGGAAGAAGCUUGCUUCUUUGCUGACGAGUGGCGGACGGGUGAGUAAUGUCUGGGAAACUGCCUGAUGGAGGGGGAUAACUACUGGAAACGGUGGCUAAUACCGCAUAACGUCGCAAGACCAAAGAGGGGGACCUUCGGGCCUCUUGCCAUCGGAUGUGCCCAGAUGGGAUUAGCUAGUAGGUGGGGUAACGGCUCACCUAGGCGACGAUCCCUAGCUGGUCUGAGAGGAUGACCAGCCACACUGGAACUGAGACACGGUCCAGACUCCUACGGGAGGCAGCAGUGGGGAAUAUUGCACAAAGGGCGCAAGCCUGAUGCAGCCAUGCCGCGUGUAUGAAGAAGGCCUUCGGGUUGUAAAGUACUUUCAGCGGGGAGGAAGGGAGUAAAGUUAAUACCUUUACUCAUUGACGUUACCCGCAGAAGAAGCACCGGCUAACUCCGUG
rnacentral:rRNA from 1 species